AUUGAACGCUGGCGGCAGGCCUAACACAUGCAAGUCGAGCGGAUGAAGGGAGCUUGCUCCUGGAUUCAGCGGCGGACGGGUGAGUAAUGCCUAGGAAUCUGCCUGGUUGUGGGGGAUAACGUCCGGAAACGGGCGCUAAUACCGCAUACGUCCUGAGGGAGAAAGUGGGGGAUCUUCGGACCUGACGCUAUCAGAUGAGCCUAGGUCGGAUUAGCUAGUUGGUGGGGUAAAGGCCUACCAAGGCGACGAUCCGUAACUGGUCUGAGAGGAUGAUCAGUCACACUGGAACUGAGACACGGUCCAGACUCCUACGGGAGGCAGCAGUGGGGAAUAUUGGACAAUGGGCGAAAGCCUGAUCCAGCCAUGCCGCGUGUGUGAAGAAGGUCUUCGGAUUGUAAAGCACUUUAAGUUGGGAGGAAGGGCAGUAAGUUAAUACCUUGCUGUUUUGACGUUACCAACAGAAUAAGCACCGGCUAACUUCGUG
rnacentral:rRNA from 1 species